ACCCUGGUUACUUGAGCGACUUGGCACCACCCUUUUCCAUCCCGAACAAGGAAGUGAAACGAGUCAGCGCCGAUGAUACUCACAUCGAGAGAUGAAGGGAAAGUAGGUCGUAGCCGGGGUA
rnacentral:rRNA from 1 species